rnacentral:rRNA from 1 species
CGGGCGGACUCUUCGGGAGUGAGUAGAGUGGCGCACGGGUGAGUAACGCGUAGGUAAUCUACCCUUAUAUCUGGGAUAACCGACCGAAAGGUUGGCUAAUACCGGAUACCCUUUAGUUAUCGCGAGGUAUUUAAAGGAAAGGUGACCUCUGAUUAAGUUACCGUAUAGGGAUGAGCCUGCGUACCAUUAGCUAGUUGGUGGGGUAAAGGCCUACCAAGGCGACGAUGGUUAGCGGGUCUGAGAGGAUGAUCCGCCACACUGGAACUGGAACACGGACCAGACUCCUACGGGAGGCAGCAGUGAGGAAUAUUGCGCAAUGGGGGCAACCCUGACGCAGCGACGCCGCGUGGGUGAGGAAGGUUUUCGGAUCGUAAAGCCCUGUCAGGUGGGAAGAAAUGUUAUACGGUUAAUACCCGUAUAGCUUGACGGUACCACCAGAGGAAGCACCGGCUAACUCCGUGCCAGCAGCCGCGGUAAUACGGAGGGUGCGAGCGUUGUUCGGAAUUACUGGGCGUAAAGGGCGCGUAGGCGGCUUGAUAAGUCAGAUGUGAAAGCCCACGGCUCAACCGUGGAAGUGCAUCUGAAACUGUCUGGCUUGAGUAUUGGAUGGGAAAGUGGAAUUCCAGGUGUAGAGGUGAAAUUCGUAGAUA